AAAAAAUGAAUUUCUAAGGCUUAUAUAGUGGUAUUUCUUUUCUAUAACAUGCUGGAUUCUGCUUUUAGGAACUUUUGUCAUUGUUUUAAGUGUUCAUUCCAGGCUACUGAAGCAGGCUUUCAUAUGCUGUUGUAUAUGAGUGGCAAAAUACCCUGAAGCUAGGAGACAAAUUUUAGUGGCACCGGAUCGUCCUGCAGGUCAAGGCUAGGACGUGAAAUUGGCACCAACAGCUUCCAAAGGAAACUGCAUGCAGCUCUCUGAAACUGGGAAACAUCCUAACAGGGAACUGGAGGGAGUUAAAAAUGAGAGAAUAAGGAAGAAGCUGGAGCAUUCUUUAAUGAUAUCCUGGGGAAAAGAAAAAAAAAAUAAAUCUGCUUAACAGGGAUAUGGUCCUUUGGGAAAAAUAUUAAAAAGUCUUCCUGCUUUCCAGCCCCUGCAAAAGAUGUUUCAGUGAAAGAUGUGUUGGACCAGUCCAGCAAGCCAAGGUGUCACUGCGUGGCUGUAACUCAGCACUGGUGAAACUGACAUGUCAGCUGGGCAGCACAGAUCCCACUUGAGAUGAACCUUCACAACUAAUCUGUUGGAUUUGCCAUUAUGAGCUAAGUGAAAGCUGCGGUCUCAGAAGUAUGUACAUCUCUAACACACAUAAAGAAGAAAGUCUUCACAAUUCUUUCCCUAAGAAAUCAUGCAUCUCUGCUAUCCUGCUGACUCCUGAUUUAUUCUUAAUAAAGCACUUAGAUACUUCUCUAAGUUUAAAGCAUCGUAUUAAACAAGCCUGGGAACAGACUGACCAUGAUUCUUCACUGAAUCACUUUGUACAGUCACCUAGGCUCAAGCUUAACAAGGCACUCAAUCCAUUGCUUUACUUGCAUUUGAGCCUCAAGGACUCUAAUCCUCACUGGGUAUUGUUCUCUAGCAGCCCUCUCCCAGAGAGCUUUGCGUCCAAGCGUAAAACAAGAGACAAAGAGGUGAGGACACAUAAGCAAUGAACCCUAUAGAGGAAUCCAAUGAGCAAUGGCCUCAGCACAUUCACUGCCUGUCUGGGACACUGCAGUGCACAGCCUGAAGGAGGUAA